UGCACAGGUGGGGGUGGAGGAUCAUUGGCGCCUAUAUAUUGUCUUUGGGCCCCUAAAGUGGCAGUUAGGGGUCUUCUAAGUCCUUUUGUGGCUCUAUCUUUAGCCCCUAAAGCUUUGUCAACAUGCACAACUUGUACCAUGUAUCAGAGGGGUAGCUGUGUUAGUAUGGAUCUGUAAAAGCAGCAAAGAGUC